rnacentral:rRNA from 1 species
GGAUUAGAUACCCUGGUAGUCCUAGCCGUAAACGAUGGGCACUAGGUGUGGGGGGAGUCGAAUCCCUCCGUGCCGCAGCUAACGCGUUAAGUGCCCCGCCUGGGGAGUACGGCCGCAAGGCUAAAACUCAAAAGAAUUGACGGGGGCCCGCACAAGCAGCGGAGCAUGUUCUUUAAUUCGAUGCAACGCGAAGAACCUUACCUGGGCUUGACAUGCUGGUGGUAGGCGCCGGAAACGGUGGCCGACCCUUCGGGGAGUCAGCACAGGUGCUGCAUGGCUGUCGUCAGCUCGUGCCG